rnacentral:rRNA from 1 species
CUGCUGCCUCCCGUAGGAGUCUGGUCCGUGUCUCAGUACCAGUGUGGGGGACCUUCCUCUCAGAACCCCUACGCAUCGUCGGCUUGGUGGGCCGUUGCCCCACCAACUACCUAAUGCGCCGCAUGCCCAUCCGUGACCGGGGUCGCCCCCUUUGGCCGGCAGGGGAUGUCCCCUCCCGGCAUUAUGUUGUAUUAGGCGGGAUUUCUCCCGGUUAUCCAUCUGUCACGGCCAGGUUGCAUACGUGUUACUCACCCGUGCGCCGGUCGCCGGCGG